ACUGUAGCUCAGCGGUAGAGCAACGGUUUUGUAAACCGUCGGUCGAGGGUUCGAUUCCCUCCGGU
rnacentral:tRNA from 1 species